GUGUGUGUGUGUUUUAGCAGUCUGUGGAGGAUGUUUCUACAUCCCGAAGCUCCGGAUGUCACAGGCUCUCUCUCCCACUGCCUCCUGCUUCCUCGCCAUCAAACCACUGAAGCAGCCGCUUUAUCAACACAGCACACCUGCACCUGCAGGUGUGGAAACACCCGGAGGAUUAAAGAAACGCUUCAUCUUCAACAAAAGCCCGGCGGGACGUGACGAGCUGUCCAGAAGGACGAGGCCGCUGAAACGGUAGCUGCGCUAACACUUGCUCCCGUUGUCCCGGUGGGGGCUGCAUUGCAGCGGGUGGAUGCUGAUGGAUGCGCAGGUGGAGACGGGGGUCGGAUGAGAGGCUGGGCUCCUCCCCUGCUGAGAUCAGUCCCAGGUGGAUUUACCUGAGUCGCUUCUUAAACUUUAAAAAGGGCCAAAUGUGUGUCGUUGCUUUACCCCCCAAAAAAGACACCGUCGCCGUGGGAACCGCUGUAAAAACCCGACUGAACCUCGACUACCAACCCUCCCGUGUGCGUCUCAUUCAGUGGGUUUCUCUCUUUUUACAGCCGAGCAUCCCUCUCGUCGUCUUAGUCUCUCUUUCGCCUGAUGGUUUAUUCCAAUUAGAAUUAGAUUUGUUUUAGCUUAUGAAUGUGAUUAUGGGACAACAAUGCAACAAAAACUGUCUUGUUUAUUUUGACCAU